GCUAUACACCGAAAUUGCGGAUUUACACUUGAAAGAUAGUGUAAGUGGUAGAGGAGCAUUCUGUAGUAGGGAGAAGCAAAAGCGAGAGCAUUUGUGGACGAGGCAGAAGAGAGAAUGCUGGAAUAAGUAGCGAGAGCAAGGUGAGAAUCCUUGCCGUCGAAAGUCUAAGGUUUCCUGGGGAAGGUUCGUCCGCCCAGGGUAAGUCGGGCCCUAAGGUGAGGCUGAAAAGCGUAGCCGAUGGACAGCAGGUUGAGAUUCCUGCACUAUAGAUAUACUUAAAAGAUGCAAGGGACGCAGGAGUGGAAGAUAAGCGAGGAAGAGGAAAGACUCGUAUCGCAAGAUAUAGUGAAAAUAAAGUAACGAAUUAUCAAGAAGCACACUGACGAGAAAAGCUUGUAGAUAUUGUAUAUAAAUACCCGUACCGCAAACCGACACAGGUAGAUGAGGAGAGGAUCCUAAGACGAGCGGGAGAAGCAUUGUUAAGGAACUCGGCAAAUUGACCCCGUAACUUAGGGAGAAGGGGUGCCAAGGUAACACUUGGCCGCAGUGAAGAGGUUCAAGCAACUGUUUAACAAAAACACAGGUUUCUGCUAAAUCGAAAGAUGAAGUAUAGGAGCUGACGCCUGCCCAGUGCUGGAAGGUCAAAGGGAAGUGUUAGUAUUAACUACGAAGCACAGAACUCAAGCCCCAGUGAACGGCGGCCGUAACUAUAACGGUCCUAAGGUAGCGAAAUUCCUUGUCAGGUAAGUUCUGACCCGCACGAAAGGCGUAAUGAUUUGAACACUGUCUCGACAAUGUACCCGGCGAAAUUGUAGUACUAGUGAAGAUGCUAGUUACCUGCGACAAGACAGAAAGACCCCAUGGAGCUUUACUGCAGCUUGAUACUGGGUUUUGGUAAUUUAUGUACAGGAUAGGUGGGAUACGAUGAAGCAAGGGCGCCAGCUUUUGUGGAGUAGACGUUGGGAUACCACUCUUAAAUUAUUGAAAUUCUAACCUGUGAUCAUGAACUGGUCAGGGGACAAUGUCAGGCGGGCAGUUUGACUGGGGCGGUCGCCUCCUAAAGAGUAACGGAGGCGCCCAAAGGUUUCCUCAGCACGGACAGAAAUCGUGCAUAAGAGUGUAAAGGCAGAAGGAAGCUUAACUGGGAGACUGACAAGUCGAGCAGAUACGAAAGUAGGGCUUAGUGAUCCGGCGGUA
rnacentral:rRNA from 1 species